GAGGGUAUAGCUCAGAGGUGGAGUGUGUGCUUAGCAUGCACUGGGUCCUAGGUUCAAUCCCCAGCACCUCCA
rfam:Camelus ferus unplaced genomic scaffold scaffold1629, whole genome shotgun sequence.